UACAGUUCGCCGCGACACACAUUAAAACACACCCGCAUCGCGAUCCGAACUCGUGAGUAGGCAACGGUCAUUCAAUUCUCUCUUUCGCAAGUAGUUUCUGGCCACGAUUUAUUCCAAGUCAUAUUUUCCGUAUAAAUAUUGGAAAUAAUAUGGAUUCGACGUUUGAUAAAUAACGUGUUCCGAUGAGAUUGAUUGAAACGAACGAGCGAACAGCGGGACAAAGUGAUUUAUUCGAAAGAACGAUUCGAUGCUCAGAUAUUGAAUGUAUGUUUCCGCGGAAUGAGAUUCGAACGGUCAAUGAGCAAUUACAAGGGUUUAUAAAAAUUUCGUUUCUGUUGUAAGUUUUAUUGAGACUUUGUGAAAAACAUUUUACGUUUGCUACAAUUUUGUGAAUUUGACUAGAUAAUUGUAUCAGGUAAAUUGUAAAAUGUAGUGACACUUUUUUUUAAAAUAAAAACUUGUCCCGCGUUAUAGUUGUUUUAAUUGUUAUGUGUAUAUAUGUUAUAUAUCCCUUGUUAUAGUUGUAGAAGUUAAGCUGGAAUUUGUCGAGCCAGUACGUACUACUAUUUCGUACCAAAUUGUAAUGAAUGUUUGUAAUUAUAUUUGUAAUGAAUACUACAAAAUUCCGAUGACUUAAUUGUUACUAUUAAUUGAAAGGAAAUAAUGAAACAUGUAAAAUAAAAUACAUUCAUGAGAAUAUAAGUUAUAAAUCGUUGAGGAUAUUGACGAAAUAUUAUUUUUUUCUUUAUUCGCAACAUUUUCCUACGAAAAUAAUUGAACUUGACUGAUAUUGUAAAUAUACUCAUUAAAUUAUAUAUAUCUCUCAGAAUUUAUUAAACAAUGUUACUCUUUCACAACAAGUAGAUAAUAUUAAAACGUAUUUAAUAAUUGUACCAGAAACAUCGUUGUACUAACAGUGAGAUGGUAACAGAAAAUUGUAAGAUUAAAAAGAAAUGUAAGAAUUCAAUUUAACUUGGAAAUUGCAACUAUAUGCUCAAUUUCAUUUCAACAUUGCGAUUUUAUUAACAUUUUUCUGCUUUUGUUAAAAUUCCAUAGUUGUUCUACUGUAAUGUACUCAUCCAUGCCAUACUGAAUUCCUGUUAAUAAAACAGCUUCGAGACACUCACAAUUUUUCUGUGGUUAUCAUAACCUAUGAUAAUUCACAUUUUUGUUCGUUGACUAUAUCUCAAUUUAUAGAAUAUAAAUCAAAUGAAAUUAUGGAACUAUCAAUCCAUUGGGGACAAAGCAAAUUUAUUGAAAAACGAAAAUAAAGUAACGUACACGUGAUUUUCACAUUUAAAAAAAAAAUUCAUUACAGAAAUCAUACAAAAAAAAAAAUGUUUCAUUAUUUUAAAAAACGGCAUCAAAUCUGGUAUCGUGAUUUCUCAUCGUUUUGAAUUACUAUACGCAAGCCAUUACAAGGAUUAGAUAUAAGAAGAUGUUAUCAUAGCGUUAUACAUCAACUUCUUCAGACUAUAUAAACUAGAUGAAAAAGAUAAUAAUGAGAAAGAUUAUUAAGUAAAUCCUUGGAACCCCUUUCCAUAAGCACAGAUAAAAGAUAAAAUUUAAUAACGUAAACUAACUAAAAAAAUUGUUGAUGAAAUAUUGCAACGUUGGUCCUUAAUCUGUUAAUCUUACAAGAUCAGCUUAUAUUUGUUUUAAGUAUAAUUGGUAACGAUAUUAGUACGAAUUUUGGUAUCAAUUGUUACAAUUUAUAUUCCACACGUAAAAUGUUAAGGAUGUUGGAAAGAACAGAGAUCUUCUGGAAGCCAGCGGUAUUCAGAACGACGAUCGUCGCGUCGCGCACGUGACGUCAUUCACCCUCUCCUUGACCAACCACUACGAACGACGAAAUCCCCAACUGCGUCUGCACAAAGAGUGACGUCACGUCUACAGGCUUUUCUCGUUCUGUACGAGACUACGAGAGCUCUUUCAAGAAGCCGCGCGCGUCGCUUCUGCCUUCCUCCUUCUGCUUGGUCGGCGAAUCUAUGCCACUUGAAGCUGUUAACCAAAAAGCACAAAGUCAUGCUACAUGAAAAGGUCGUGCACUCUUAACGCUGUUAUUCCAUCCUGCGUUUUUACCAGGGGUUUAUAUCAGCUUGGAAAUCUGUUUCUCGUCGGCCAAGAACAAUAAUAUCAUUCACAGUGGCCAAUUUACCUAGGUCCUCUGCCAACAGACACGUCCGUCUGAUACUUACAACGAGAAACCAUGAAUUAUCGGGCAAAGAACAUCGAGACGAUUAACCACACGUAGUUCGUGGAUGUACGGUUAAAUACCCUUACUGAUUGCCAUUAAUUAAUUCCGGCUUUACAGCCUCCGACCUUCUUCCGUCUUAGCACGCCCUUAAUACGUGCACUCAUAGUCGUGACUUCCGUCAUUAAUAAUCUGGCGAACAAGCGGAACCGUAGCAGUCUGGAAAAUUGCUCUUUAAUAUAAAAUGCUCGCGGAAAGUCAGCCAAAGAGUAACCCAAGGGAGUUUGGAGGACAGGGCUCGCAGCCGAUAUAAUUGUAAAUUCGAUGGCAAGUUCACCGACCAUUUCCCAGCAGCCUUGGUGGACUUAGGACGAUUCUCGAAACCUCCCAGGGCAAUGAGGAUUAAGGAAAGAUCCCGAUCGCGAAUAUAAACGCAAUGGGCUUGUGGAACUUCCCUAUCGUUCGCCUGUUCCACCGAGAGUCCUGCUAAGUUUGUCCCAAUCCCUUAGGAGUUCCCUUUUUAAAAAUUCUGUUUUAAAAGGAUCAAUAUUGCAUAAUACGUUUAAUAUAAUCAAGUUACCUUCUACGUGGAAUCAUACAGAACUUUGAAAAUGCGAAUGCGUAAAGCCAUUAAAAAGAGGAUUGAAACUUGUUUAAAAUGAAAGGCGCAGAUACCAUAUUUCCUGCAAAUUAAAUCACAGGCAACUUUCAAUACGAGAUAUGAACAAAGAAUAUCGUUUUAUAGAUAACGAUUCUUAUAUCUCUAUCAUAACAAUAUUGAAACCUCUGAAUUUCCCACGAGAAGAAUUUAUUCAUUUUUUUCUUUUUUUUUUCACGUAGGAGACCAAAAAUCUCCAACUUGCAGUUUAACUGAACCUUAUGCAGUAAUUUCUGUGAGAAGAGAUCUACCAAAAACGUUCAUAAGGAAUUGAAACAUCCCGGGGCACAUUAUUUGAAGAAGCUGUCGCCAUUGUAGCUAAAGUAGAAGGAGAGACGAGAAACAGUUCACCAGUUUCGUAUGUGACAAGGAAUCUAGGGAAUGCAAGGACAUGCUGACCGUACCGGAAGCCCCCUUAGGGAACUCCCUUGCAAGAUGCAGGGAGUCCAAGUUUGCCAACGUUACUUGCUACUUCCGGUAAGGAAGAACGCGCCUGGACUAUGGAACUGCGGGCUUGAAGGCAAACCGUCGGGCGGGGCUACAUUGAGAAACGUAUUUGUAAACAUACAUCCUACCCAUGAGGCUCGAGCAGCCCGUGUCGCAGUAAAUCCCGGUACAUUAAUAUUAAUGCGUCUUCGGCAUGUACAACACACUCGUGCCUUCUACUCAGCUGGUUCUCCACAUCGCAGAAAGCAUGAGAGUUCAACAGAGUUUACAGCACCAACCGUGUACGGAACCUGAACCUCCUCACAAUAUCUGCGUUCCGUCUGUCUCGCUUUCAUCUUGCAGUCUCGGGUGUUACGCCUCUCACUCCGAGAAAAUCAGCUUAGUUUUUUAUUCACGUUUGUCACGCUGAUUCUUCGCGGUCUCGUUCAAAAGUGUUUUGGAAUUUUUGUGUCUUUGAAGCGAGUAAUAGAAGAAAUGAUAUGCACGUGUAAUUAGUUCUUUAGAUUCGUGGUAGUUUUGAAGUCUUUGAUGAAUCUUUUAAUCCCUUUUGUUUGUAACAUAGAUGAAACGUGCUCUAUUUCGCUAUAUUUUAUUUCUGUACUUUGGAUCCAUUUCAACCUGUUGAAAUUACACACUUGAAAAAACUUUUUCAAAGGAAUAUUUGCAGCAUUCAUGUUUUAUGAAUAUACUUCAUCUUUUCAGCAGUUUUAAAAACUAUCAAAAUCAUGCUUCGGAGAGCCAAGCUUAGCUUUUUAAAAAUUUAACUGGUUAGAAAUAUGUCUGAAAAUAUACGAUCAACGCAGAAAUGUGUAAUAAAAAUACAUACGAAAAGAAACGAUCAACAUUGGUCAUUAAUGACAAAUGUUCCCUUUCUGCCUUUAUGUUGGCACAUUACAAGAGAGUUUGAUGAAAAGGCCGGGGCCAUUGUUGAAUCAAGGAAGAGUGAAAGGUGACGUGCGAUAAUAGAAUCCUGUGGAAUAGUAAAAAUACCGCAUUUGCGUCAGUUAGGAAAGCAGAACAAUUAUACAGGUUGGAUGACUGAGUGAAAAGAAAUUGUAGUAGCAGAAUUAUUGGAAAUAAAAAGA